CAAUAGCGUAUAUUUAAGUUGUUGCAGUUAAAAAGCUCGUAGUUGGAUUUCGGUUAAGAGCGACCGGUCCGCCGUUUGGUGUGCACUGGUUGGUUUUAACUUCCUGUAGAGGACGUGCUCUGGGUUUAACGACCUGGACUCGGAGUCUACGUGGUUACUUUGAAAAAAUUAGAGUGUUCAAAGCGGGCUUACGCUUGAAUAUUUCAGCAUGGAAUAACACUAUAGGACUCCUGUCCUAUUUCGUUGGUCUCGGGACGGGAGUAAUGAUUAAGAGGAACAGUUGGGGGCAUUCGUAUUUCAUUGUCAGAGGUGAAAUUCUUGGAUUUAUGAAAGACGAACUUCUGCGAAAGCAUUUGCCAAGGAUGCUUUCAUUA
rnacentral:rRNA from 1 species